CACAGAGGAGCUUGCUCUUGGGGUGAAGAGUGGAGGACAGGCGAGUGGGGGGGGGGAACCUGCCUGAGGGAGGGGGAUGGCUACUGGAAACGGUAGCUAAUACCUAAUAACGUCGCAAGACCAAAGUGGGGGACCUCCGGGCCUCACACCAUCGGAUGUGCCCAGAUGGGAUUAGCUUGUAGGCGGGGUAACGGCCCACCUAGGCGACGAUCCCUAGCUGGUCUGAGAGGAUGACCAGCCACACUGGAACUGAGACACGGUCCAGACUCCUACGGGAGGCAGCAGUGGGGAAUAUUGCACAAUGGGCGCAAGCCUGAUGCAGCCAUGCCGCGUGUAUGAAGAAGGCCUUCGGGUUGUAAAGUACUUUCAGCGGGGAGGAAGGUGUUGAGGUUAAUAACCUCAGCAUUUGACGUUACCCGCAAAAAAAGCAGCGGCUAACUCCGUGCCAGUAGCCGCGUUAAUACGGAGGGUGCACUCGUUAUUCGAAAUAACUGGGCGUAUUGCUCACCCAGGGCGGUCUGUUAACUCA
rnacentral:rRNA from 1 species